rnacentral:rRNA from 1 species
UACGUAGGGUGCGAGCGUUGUCCGGAAUUACUGGGCGUAAAGAGCUCGUAGGUGGUUUGUCGCGUUGUUCGUGAAAACUCACAGCUCAACUGUGGGCGUGCGGGCGAUACGGGCAGGCUAGAAUUCGGUAGGGGAGACUGGAAUUCCUGGUGUAGCGGUGAAAUGCGCAGAUAUCAGGAGGAACACCGGUGGCGAAGGCGGGUCUCUGGGCCGAUACUGACGCUGAGGAGCGAAAGCGUGGGGAGCGAACAGG